rnacentral:misc_RNA from 1 species
GAUGAAGAACGUAGUGAAAUGCGAUAAGUAAUGUGAAUUGCAGAAUUCAGUGAAUCAUCGAAUCUUUGAACGCACAUUGCGCCCGCCAGUAUUCUGGCGGGCAUGCCUGUUCGAGCGUCAUUUCAACCAUCAAGCCUCAGGCUUGUGUUGGAGCCCUGCGGCUGCCGCAGCCUCCCAAAACCAGUGGCGGGCUCGCUAUCACACCGAGUGCAGUAGUUUACUCUUCGCUCAGGGCGUGUGGCGGGUGCUAGCCGUGAAACCCCCCACUUCUCAAGGUUGACCUCGGAUCAGGUAGGAAUACCCGCUGAACUUAAGCAUAUCAAUAAGCGGAGGA